rnacentral:rRNA from 1 species
CAGCCGCCGCGGUAAUACCGGCGGCCCGAGUGGCGGUCACUAUUAUUGGGCUUAAAACGUCCGUAGCCGGGUUGGGAAGUCCUCCGGGAAAUCUGGCCGCUUAACGGUCAGAAUGCCGGAGGAUACUCCCAGCCUAGGGAGCGGGAGAGGCCGAGGGGAUUCCCGGAGGAGGGGUGAAAUCCUAUAAUCCCGGGAGGACCACCUGUGGCGAAGGCGCUCGGCUGGAACGCGUCCGACGGUGAGGGACGAAGGCCAGGGGAGCAAACCGGAUUAGAUACCCGGGUAGUCCUGGCUGUAAACGAUGCGGACUUUGUGUCGGACAAGCUAUGAGCUUGUCCGGUGCCGGAGGGAAACCGUUAAGUCCGCCGCCUGGGGAGUACGGCCGCAAGGCUGAAACUUAAAGGAAUUGGCGGG